rnacentral:ncRNA from 1 species
GACGGAGACCUACCUAUAGUGGCGUCAAAGUACCAGUGAGGAUGGAGGUUUGGUUGAAAUUGGUUACGACGACGUCGAGUUGGCGGCGGAGGAAGACUCGGCAUGAAGGCCAGCCGCCCGGUGGUGUGGUACGUAGUGGUAAUAGUACGCGCCCCGCUCCGAAACAAAGAAAAAGGUGCGUGCCGCACUCACGAGGGACUGCGAGUGAGAUACUGGAGGAAGGUGGGGAUGACGUCAAGUCCGCAUGGCCCUUAUGGGCUGGGCCACACACGUGCUACAAUGGCAAUGACAAUGGGAAGCAAGGCUGUAAGGCGGAGCGAAUCCGGAAAGAUUGCCUCAGUUCGGAUUGUUCUCU